rfam:Dictyostelium discoideum AX4 chromosome 1, whole genome shotgun sequence.
GGGCUUCUUACAGCAAAAUAAAGUAAAUAAAUAAGGUGUAGAAUAGGUGGGAGACUAUGUCGGCCGUGAAAUACCACCACUAAUUAAAAAAACUUCGAUCCCUG